rnacentral:lncRNA from 1 species
GAGAGAUCGAUGUCUUAUUGUGAUGAGUCUCGACUGUCAUAUCUUCUUCGGAGGAUCACCCGGGAAAACGACCGAGACCGAAGAUUGGCUACUGUAAAGCAGUUGAAAGAAUUUAUUCAGCAACCAGAAAAUAAGCUGGUACUAGUUAAACAAUUGGAUAUCUUGGCUGCUGUACAUGAUGUGCUUAAUGAAAGUAGCAAAUUGCUUCAGGAGUUGAGACAGGAGGGAGCUUGCUGUCUCGGCCUUCUUUGUGCUUCUCUGAGCUAUGAGGCUGAGAAGAUCUUCAAGUGGAUUUUUAGCAAAUUUAGCUCAUCUGCAAAAGAUGAAGUUAAACUCCUCUACUUAUGUGCCACCUACAAAGCACUAGAGACUGUAGGAGAAAAGAAAGCCUUUUCAUCUGUAAUGCAGCUUGUAAUGACCAGCCUGCAGUCAAUUCUUGAAAAUGUGGAUACACCAGAAUUGCUUUGCAAAUGUGUUAAGUGCAUUCUUUUGGUGGCUCGAUGUUACCCUCAUAUUUUCAGCACUAAUUUUAGGGAUACAGUUGGUAUAUUAGUUGGAUGGCAUAGAGAUCAUACUCAGAAACCUUCGCUCACGCAGCAGGUAUCUGGGUGGUUGCAGAGUUUGGAGCCAUUUUGGGUAGCUGAUCUUGCAUUUUCUACGCCUCUACUUGGUCAGUUUCUAGAAGACAUGGAAGCAUAUGCUGAGGACCUCAGCCAUGUGGCCUCUGGGGAAUCAGUGGAUGAAGACGUCCCUCCUCCAUCAGUGUCAUUACCAAAGCUGGCUGCGCUUCUCCGGGUAUUUAGUACUGUGGUGAGGAGCACUGGGGAAAGCCUCAGCCCAAUUCGGGCCCUCCAAUUACUGAGGCAUA